UCUAAAUUGAGUAACUUAUGGAUUUCACUUCUCAUGAUAAGAGAUCACGAAGUCUGCAAUAAUCUUGAAGUUGGAACAUUCAUUUCGAUGAUGUGAUCAAAUUGUUUAAUCAGAAAUGAAGAAUUAUGUAUUUUUAAAGGAUCAGUGGGAGUAUCCAACACUGACAUCGAUUAAAAUAUAGUUGUAUAUUGAAUUCUCUAUGAA
rnacentral:lncRNA from 1 species